GACGAACGCUGGCGGCGUGCUUAACACAUGCAAGUCGAACGGAAAGGCCCUGCUUUUGUGGGGUGCUCGAGUGGCGAACGGGUGAGUAACACGUGAGUAACCUGCCCUUGACUUUGGGAUAACUUCAGGAAACUGGGGCUAAUACCGGAUAGGAGCUCCUGCUGCAUGGUGGGGGUUGAAAAUUUGCGCGGUUUGGGAUGGACUCCCGGCUUAUCAGCUUGUUUGUGGGGUAGUGGCUUACCAAGGCUUUGACGGGUAGCCGGCCUGAGAGGGUGACCGGCCACAUUGGGACUGAGAUACGGCCCAGACUCCUACGGGAGGCAGCAGUGGGGAAUAUUGCACAAUGGGCGGAAGCCUGAUGCAGCAACGCCGCGUGCGGGAUGACGGCCUUCGGGUUGUAAACCGCUUUCGCCUGUGACGAAGCGUGAGUGACGGUAAUGGGUAAAGAAGCACCGGCUAACUACGUG
rnacentral:rRNA from 1 species